rnacentral:rRNA from 1 species
AGCGUAGACGGUAAAGCAAGUCUGAAGUGAAAGCCCGCGGCUCAACUGCGGGACUGCUUUGGAAACUGUUUAACUGGAGUGCUGGAGAGGUAAGCGGAAUUCCUAGUGUAGCGGUGAAAUGCGUAGAUAUUAGGAGGAACACCAGUGGCGAAGGCGGCUUACUGGACAGUAACUGACGUUGAGGCUCGAAAGCGUGGGGAGCAAACA